CGAUCCUAAUGUUUUCUGCCGUGGACUGACUGCUGAGCUCUAUAGGCGCUGGUUUGUGGAGCAGACUGGGAGCGAGCUCAUUAAUGCAUGUGUGGAUGGAUCAGAAGAGAGACUCACUAUGUUCUCUCUUUCUUUAACAGCGGACUGAAAAAAACAUACACAAGAUGGAAGAGGGAGAUGAUAAAGGUUGUGCUGCCUUAACGGAGGCUUCUGGUUGCAAUGCUUCACUGCGGACUGAAAAAAACAUACACAAGAUGGAAGAGGGAGAUGAUAAAGGUUGUGCUGCCUUAACGGAGGCUUCUGGUUGCAAUGCUUCACUGGACAACAACAUAUGAUCCAAGCAACCUGUGACACAGUAAUGUGUCCCUCUGCCAGAGCAGAUCUGAUGGGCAGGACUUUCUGAGCUGAGAGUCGGCGG
ensembl:lncRNA